GCCUUGAUAGCUCAGCCUGGUAGAGCGAACGCCUCGUAAGCGUUAGGUCGCGAGCUCGUAUCUCGCUCAAGGCU
rnacentral:tRNA from 1 species